AAUGAAUUGCCUGAUUAAAAGGGUUACCUUGAUAGGGUAAAUUAUAUGAUUUUUCAUAUUCAUUA